rnacentral:rRNA from 1 species
UACGUAGGGUGCGAGCGUUGUCCGGAAUUAUUGGGCGUAAAGAGCUUGUAGGCGGUCUGUCGCGUCUGCUGUGAAAAUCCGGGGCUCAACCCCGGACUUGCAGUGGGUACGGGCAGACUAGAGUGUGGUAGGGGAGACUGGAAUUCCUGGUGUAGCGGUGAAAUGCGUAGAUAUCCGGAGGAACACCAGUGGCGAAGGCGACUUCCUGGCCUGUUCUUGACGCUGAGGCGCGAAAGCUGGGGGAGCAAACGGG